rnacentral:Y_RNA from 1 species
GGCUGGUCCGAUGGCAGUGGAUUAUCAGAACUUAUUAACAUCAGUGUCACUAAAGUUGGUAUACCAUACCCCCCCCACUCUAAAUUUGACUGGCUUAAA